GACGAACCGUGCGAACGGUGUUCGGAAUCACUGGGCUUAAAGGGCGCGUAGGCGGGUGACCAAGUCCUGGGUGAAAUCUUUCGGCUUAACCGGAAAAGUGCCUGAGAUACUGGUCAUCUGGAGGGAGGUAGGGGCAGCUGGAACUUCCGGUGGAGCGGUGAAAUGCGUUGAUAUCGGAAGGAACGCCGGUGGCGAAAGCGAGCUGCUGGACCUCUUCUGACGCUGAGGCGCGAAAGCCAGGGGAGCAAACGGG
rnacentral:rRNA from 1 species